AUUUCUAAGCCUGUCGUUAUUCAACACUUAAACAAGAUAUAUACUUGGCAAAAGAAUGGGUCAAUCAAUUCGAUCAAAAUAUGAUACAUCAAUCACUCACUUGAUGUCUUAUUUCUUAGCCCGGCAGAGAAAACGGUAGCUUCUUGGGUGAGUGAGUGAAUAAUGAAACAAUCAUGCAUGUUUCAUUAUAGAAUAUUGAAUAAAAAAAGGAGCCUAGCUAGUAGCUAGUAGCUAGUAGAAGGUGCUAGAGGGAGAGGGAGGGAGAUGAUGAAGAAGAACAGGAAGCAUGAACAAUAAAUUAAAUUGGGGUUUGUGUUAUUGACCAGUGCAUCGUCAACAGUGCUGUAGGUUGAAUGGCAAACCAAGACGUGUGGGCGUGAAUGAAUGAAUGCAAAUUGCAACUUGCAGUGCAAGAGUGUGCGCGUGUGAGAUGAAGGAUUGUGACAAAGACUAACACCAAACAGCACGAGUGGCCUUUCCGUGCGUUUAGGGGCCCAAUCAAAUGCGGACUCUAGGUGAUAAUUUGGAUAACAGGAAGAAAACUUGAAAAAAUAGAACAAAAAGUUUAACUUGUUGAAAAGGGCAAGAGCAUGAUUGCAUUGAAGGUUUAACCAAGGUUGUUGACAAAGAGCAAAGUUGCCAUGAAUUUGGCACGAUGGUGGAUAGAUUCAUGAAAGAGCAUGUGCGACGCGGUGCAGAGCAUGAUCUCAAAGUUGACACAGAGCACGACUGAGGUAAUUAGCAUCGACGGGUGUGCUAACUUAAGCAACCCACUUAUUUGAAAUUUUUGAAAGCAAUCUAUUUAAAAGAAUAUUGUACCUAAGAGAAAAGAGAGGGAGUUCGCAUGAAUGUCUCCUCGGACAGAAAAGGAAGGCCUUAAACGAGGAAAAAUCUUACUAUGAGAUUUUGCAGCUGAAGAUCAUUGAGUUGCUUAGGUAGAGACUACACAAGACGUAAUCGUUAGUUUGUCUUCUCAAUUGUUUUGAUGUUGCUAGCUAUAAUUAGGAUUUAUUUGUUCUUCAUGUAUAUGUAAUAGAUGAUAUGAACCUCACUUUAUUGUUUUACAUAGUUUAGUUUCCAUUA